UUAUUUGAAGAAAAUGGAUCCAAUGGAUACAUCAGAUCCAUAUUUACUUAUAACUAAAUAUGGAUCCGAUAUAUCCAUUGGAUCCAUUUUUUUAUA
rnacentral:miRNA from 1 species